rnacentral:rRNA from 1 species
CCUACGGGUGGCAGCAGUAGGGAAUAUUGCUCAAUGGGGGAAACCCUGAAGCAGCGACGCCGCGUGGAGGAUGAAGGUUUUCGUAUUGUAAACUCCUUUUGUUAGGGAAGAUAAUGCCGGUAUCUCACGAAUAAGCACCGGCUAACUCCGUGCCAGCAGCCGCGGUAAUACGGAGGGGGCAAGCGUUACUCGGAAUUACUGGGCGUAAAGAGCGCGUAGGCGGGAUAGCAAGUCAGAUGUGAAAUCCUAAGGCUUAACCAUAGAACUGCUUUUGAAACUGUUAGGCUAGAGUAUGGGAGAGGUAGGUGGAAUUCUUGGUGUAGGGGUAAAAUCCGUAGAGAUCAAGAGGAAUACUCAUUGCGAAGGCGACCUGCUAGAACAUAACUGACGUUGAUGCGCGAAAGCGUGGGGAGCAAACAGGAUUAGAUACCCGGGUAGUC